UCGCACAAGUCCAUCAUGGUUGCAAGUUCCCCUUCGCAACCCAUGACACUAGUAGCUGGUUCCCUCUGAAGUUUCCUUCAAGAUAGCUGGAGCCCUUAGAGAGUUCGAUCGAGUAAAGCGAAUGAUCAGAUGCAUCGGGGGAGCAACGCCCUCGACCUAUUCUUAGACUUUAAAUAGGUAGGACGGUGCGGCUGCUUCGUUGAGCCGCGCCACGAAAUCGAGAGCUCCAAGUGGGCCAUUUUUGGUAAGUAGAACUGGCGAUGCGGGAUGAACUGGAAGCCGGGUUACGGUGCCCAACUGCGCGCUAACCUAGAACCCACAAAGGGUGUUGGUCGAUUAAGACAGCAGGACGGUGGUCAUGGAAGUUGAAAUCUGCUAAGGAGUGUGUAACAACUCACCUGUCGAAUCAACUAGCCCCGAAAAUAGAUGGCGCUUAAGCGCGUAACCUAUACCCGACCAUAAGGGCAAGAGCCAGGCCUCGAUGAGUAGGAUGGCGCGGCAGUCGUCGCAAAACCUUUGGUGCGAACCCAGGCGGAGCGGCCGUCGGUGUAGAUCUUGGUGGUAUUAGCAAAUAUUCGAAUGAGAGCUUUGAAGGCCGAAGAGGGGAAAGGUUCCAUGUGAACGACACUUGCACAUGGGUUAGUCGAUCCUAAGAGACGGGGGAAGCCCGUCUGAUAGCGCGUUCAGCGCGAGCUUCGAAAGGGAAUUAGGUUAAAAUUCCUGAACUGGGACGCAGCGGCUGACGGCAAUGUUAGGGAGUCUGGAGACAUCGACGGGGGCCUCGGGAAGAGUUAUCUUUUCUGUUUAACUGCCUGCCCACCCUAGAAACGGCUCAGCCGGAGGUAGGGUCCAGCGGCCAGAAGAGCACCGCACGUCGCGUGGUGUCCGGUGUGCCCCUGACGGCCCUUGAAAAUUCUGAGGACCAAGUGCCAUCUGCGUCCGGUCGUGCUCAUAACCGCAUCAGGUCUCCAAGGUGAACAGCCUCUGGUU
rnacentral:ncRNA from 1 species